UGUUGAGAAGAAGGGCUGCACAUCAGAGAGGCUGUUUAGUUGUUCAUUCUACUGCAGUGGAGGAACAUUGCUCAUCUGCUGUCUGUUUGGCUUUAACAACUCCAAAGACAUGUUGCUUUACCUCUUUUUACUCUUCUCUCCCUUUAUAGCCCUGGGUUCCAUGAACAGCAUAAAGCCAGAAAGUAGUGAAGACCAUGUUGCAGAGGGCAGAACCAUCAACCUGACCUGUACAUAUGAGGGAGCUAUCUACAGUAUCCAGUGGUACCGACAAUACCAGAGAUCCAGACCAGAGUUCCUGCUCUACAUCACAGAGGGAGGAUCAAUUCAUCCAACUGGUUCUGAUUUCUCAGCUCACAAUAACAAGACAAGGAAACGUGUUGAUCUGGAGAUCAUCUCAGCUAAAGUCACAGACUCUGCUGUGUACUACUGUGCUCUGAGGCCCACAGUGACAGGAAACACCAAAACGAGUCAGCUGUGA